UACAGAGGUCUCAAGCGUUGUUCGGAUUCAUUGGGCGUAAAGGGUGCGUAGGUGGCGCUGUAAGUCAGGUGUGAAAUUUCGGAGCUCAACUUCGAAACUGCAUUUGAUACUGCGGUGCUUGAGGACUGGAGAGGAGACUGGAAUUUACGGUGUAGCAGUGAAAUGCGCAGAGAUCGUAAGGAAGACCAGUGGCGAAGGCGGGUCUCUGGACAGUUCCUGACACUGAGGCACGAAGGCCAGGGGAGCAAACGGG
rnacentral:rRNA from 1 species